UACGGAGGGAGCUAGCGUUGUUCGGAAUUACUGGGCGUAAAGCGCGCGUAGGCGGCUUUGUAAGUUAGAGGUGAAAGCCCGGGGCUCAACUCCGGAACUGCCUUUAAGACUGCAUCGCUUGAAUCCAGGAGAGGUGAGUGGAAUUCCGAGUGUAGAGGUGAAAUUCGUAGAUAUUCGGAAGAACACCAGUGGCGAAGGCGGCUCACUGGACUGGUAUUGACGCUGAGGUGCGAAAGCGUGGGAAGCAAACAGG
rnacentral:rRNA from 1 species